rnacentral:rRNA from 1 species
GUAUAGGCUUUGGUCCGUAUCACUCUGGGGUGGCGUCGCGGUGCAUUAGCUAGUUGGUAAGGUAACGGCUUACCAAGGCGAUGAUGCAUAGCCGAGUUGAGAGACUGAUCGGCCACAAUGGAACUGAGACACGGUCCAUACUCCUACGGGAGGCAGCAGUAGGGAAUCUUCCACAAUGGGCGCAAGCCUGAUGGAGCAACACCGCGUGAGUGAAGAAGGGUUUCGGCUCGUAAAGCUCUGUUGUUGGAGAAGAACGUGCGUGAGAGUAACUGUUCACGCAGUGACGGUAUCCAACCAGAAAGUCACGGCUAACUACGUGCC